GCCCAGACUCCUACGGGAGGCAGCAGUGGGGAAUAUUGCACAAUGGGGGAAACCCUGAUGCAGCGACGCCGCGUGAGUGAAGAAGUAUUUCGGUAUGUAAAGCUCUAUCAGCAGGGAAGAAGAAAGACGGUACCUGAAGAAGAAGCCCCGGCUAACUACGUGCCAGCAGCCGCGGUAAUACGUAGGGGGCAAGCGUUAUCCGGAUUUACUGGGUGUAAAGGGAGCGUAGACGGCCAGACAAGUCUGAAGUGAAAAUCCAGCGAGUAACGGUGGAAGUGCUUCGGAAACUGCCGGGCUAGAGUGCAGGAGGGACAGGCGGAAUUCCUAGUGUAGCGGUGAAAUGCGUAGAUAUUAGGAGGAACACCAGUGGCGAAGGCGGCCUGCUGGACGGCAACUGACGUUGAGGCUCGAAGGCGUGGGGAGCAAACA
rnacentral:rRNA from 1 species